rnacentral:rRNA from 1 species
CCGGCGAACGGGUGCGUAACACGUGAGCAAGCUUCCGAUUUGUGGGGGAUAGCCGGCCCAACGGCCGGGUAAUACCGCAUACGUUCAUUAGACGGCAUCGUCUGAUGAGGAAACCUCCGGGGCAAAUCGAGGCGCUCGCGGCCUAUCAGCUAGUUGGCGAGGUAACGGCUCACCAAGGCGACGACGGGUAGCUGGUCUGAGAGGAUGGCCAGCCACAUUGGGACUGCGACACGGCCCAGACUCC